GACGAACGCUGGCGGCGUGCUUAACACAUGCAAGUCGAACGGAAAGGCCUUUUCGGAGGUACUCGAGUGGCGAACGGGUGUGUAACACGUGGGGGAUCUGCCCUGCACUCUGGGAUAAGCCUGGGAAACUGGGUCUAAUACCGGCUAGGACCGCACUUUAGUGUGUGUGGUGGAAAGUUUUUUCGGUGUAGGAUGAGCCCGCGGCCUAUCAGCUUGUUGGGGGGGUAAUGGCCUACCAAGGCGGGGACGGGUAGCCGGACUGGGAGGUUGUUCGGCGACAUUGGGACCGAGGUGCGGCCGAGGCGGCGACGGGAGGGAGCAGGGGGGAAGGUUGCACAAGGGGGGCAGGGCGGGUGCAGCGGGGCCGCGGGGGGGAUGACGGGCUUCGGGUUGAAGACUGGUUGCGCGAGGGACGAAGCGUUUUGUGACGGUACCUGGAGAAGAAGCACCGGCUAACUACGUG
rnacentral:rRNA from 1 species